UCGAGGGGUAUAAGUAGCAAUACUUAGAGACCGGCGCACGGGUGAGUAACGCGUAUGCAACCUGCCCUUUACUGGAGGAUAGCCCGUAGAAAUGCGGAUUAAUACCCCAUAGUAAUGUUGGAUCGCAUGAUCUGGCAUUUAAAGUUUCGGCGGUAAAGGAUGGGCAUGCGUGACAUUAGCUAGUUGGAGAGGUAACGGCUCACCAAGGCUUCGAUGUCUAGGGGUUCUGAGAGGAAGAUCCCCCACACUGGUACUGAGACACGGACCAGACUCCUACGGGAGGCAGCAGUGAGGAAUAUUGGUCAAUGGGCGAGAGCCUGAACCAGCCAUCCCGCGUGCAGGAAGAAUGCCCUAUGGGUUGUAAACUGCUUUUUCGCAUGAAGAACACCCCUGACGUGUCAGGGGCUGACGGUAAUGCGUGAAUAAGCACCGGCUAACUCCGUGCCAGCAGCCGCGGUAAUACGGAGGGUGCAAGCGUUAUCCGGAUUUAUUGGGUUUAAAGGGUGCGUAGGCGGCUAUUUAAGUCAGUGGUGAAAUCCUGCAGCUUAACUGUAGAACAGCCAUUGAAACUGAAUAGCUUGAGUGAUCUUGAGGUAGGCGGAAUGUGUAGUGUAGCGGUGAAAUGCUUAGAUAUUACACAGAACACCGAUUGCGAAGGCAGCUUACUAAGGAUUUACUGACGCUGAUGCACGAAAGCGUGGGGAUCAAACAGGAUUAGAUACCCUGGUAGUCCACGCCGUANACGAUGAUAACUCGCUGUUGGCGAUNCACAGUCAGCGGCUUAGCGAAAGCGUUAAGUUAUC
rnacentral:rRNA from 1 species